rnacentral:rRNA from 1 species
ACGAACGCUGGCGGCGUGCUUAACCCCUGCAAGUCGAACGGAAAGGCCCUGCUUUUGUGGGGUGCUCGAGUGGCGAACGGGUAAGUAACACGUGAGUAACCUGCCCUUGACUUUGGGAUAACUUCAGGAAACUGGGGCUAAUACCGGAUAGGAGCUCCUGCUGCAUGGUGGGGGUUGGAAAGUUUCGGCGGUUGGGGAUGGACUCGCGGCUUAUCAGCUUGUUGGUGGGGUAGUGGCUUACCAAGGCUUUGACGGGUAGCCGGCCUGAGAGGGUGACCGGCCACAUUGGGACUGAGAUACGGCCCAGACUCCUACGGGAGGCAGCAGUGGGGAAUAUUGCACAAUGGGCGGAAGCCUGAUGCAGCAACGCCGCGUGCGGGAUGACGGCCUUCGGGUUGUAAACCGCUUUCGCCUGUGACGAAGCGUGAGUGACGGUAAUGGGUAAAGAAGCACCGGCUAACUACGUG